rnacentral:rRNA from 1 species
AUACGGAGGACGCGAGCGUUAUCCGGAUUCAUUGGGUUUAAAGGGUGCGCAGGCGGCCAUUUAAGUCAGCGGUUAAAUCGUGGGGCUCAACCCCAUUCUGCCGUUGAUACUGGGUGGCUUGAUUGCGGUCGAGGUUGGCGGAAUUCGUUGUGUAGCGGUGAAAUGCAUAGAUAUGCCACAGAACGCCGAUAGCGGAGGCAGCUCGCCAGGCCUGCAUUGACGCUCGGGCGAGAAAGCGUGGGGAUCGAACAGGAUUAGAUACCCUGGUAGUCCACGCCGUAAACGAUGGGCGCUCGUCGUCGGCGACAGACAGUCGGCGGCCAAGCGAAAGCGAUAAGCGCCCCACCUGGGGAGUACGGUCGCAAGGCUGAAACUCAAAUGAAUUGACGGGG